AUCCGUAGGGGACGAGCGUUGUCCGGAAUUACUGGGCGGAAGGGGCGCGCAGGCGGUAUAUCAAGUCAGCUGUCAAAGGCUGGGGCUCAACCCUGGCAUGCGGAUGAAACUGAUAUGUAGGAGUGCUGAAGAGGAAAGGGGAAUUCCCAGUGUGGAGGUGAAAUGCGUAAAUAUUGGGAAGAACACCGGUGGCGAAGGCGACUUGCUGGGCAGCAACUGACGCUGAGGCGCGAAAGCCAGGGGAGCAAACGGGAUUAGAUACCCCGGUAGUCCUGGCCGUAAACGAUGAAUGCUAGGUGUGUGUGUAGAGAUACAUGCGUGCCGGAGUUAACGCGAUAAGCAUUCCGCCUGGGGAGUACGGUCGCAAGAUUGAAACUCAAAGGAAUUGACGGGG
rnacentral:rRNA from 1 species